UACGUAGGGGGCUAGCGUUGUCCGGAUUUAUUGGGCGUAAAGAGCGUGUAGGCGGCCAAGUAGGUCCGGUGUGAAAACUCGAGGCUUAACCUCGAGAUGUCAUCGGAAACCAUUUGGCUAGAGUCCGGAAGAGGAAAGUGGAAUUCCUGGUGUAGCGGUGAAAUGCGCAGAUAUCAGGAAGAACACCAAUGGCGAAAGCGGCCUGCUGGGCAGUGGCUGACACUGAGGCGCGACAGCGUGGGGAGCAAACAGG
rnacentral:rRNA from 1 species